CGCAUCUGUGCAUGCAGCAUAUCAAUAAGCGGAGGAAAAGAAACUAACAAGGAUUCCCCUAGUAACGGCGAGUGAAGCGGGAAGAGCUCAAAUUUGAAAUCUUAAAGGGUUUCCCUUUACGAAUUGUAGUUUAAAGAAGUGUUUUCUGUUGAGGCUUUGGUAAAAGUUCUUUGGAAUAGGACAUCAUAGAGGGUGAGAAUCCCGUAUUUGACCUUUACUUUCAACUUUGUGAUACACUUUCAAAGAGUCGGAUUGUUUGGGAAUGCAGUCCAAAAUGGGUGGUAAAUUUCAUCUAAAGCUAAAUAUUGGCGAGAGACCGAUAGCGAACAAGUACCGUGAGGGAAAGAUGAAGAGAACUUUGAAAAGAGAGUUAAACAGUACGUGAAAUUGUCAAAAGGGAAGCGUUUGACACCAGUGUUGUUUUUCUGAAAAUCAAUUAAAGAACUGUUUAUGCUAAGUUGUUUAGACUUUAUCAGCUAACUGUUUAGUUUUGAGCUUUUCUUUAAUGCACUUUUCAGUUAACAAGUCAACAUCAAUUUCUUUUGCUGUAAAAAAGCUUGAGGAAGGUGGCUUGAGAUUCGUCUUAAGUGUUUAUAGCCUCUUGCCUAUGCAGUCGGAGAGAUUGAGGUCUGCAGCGUAGAUCCUUCGGGGCUAAAUGCAUUUGUGCUAAGUUAUAGCAUUUUAUAGACAACUUGUUGACUAUGAUUUGUCUUGUAGCUUACUCGCUUAUGUUAUUUUACCUACGCUUAGGAUGUUGAAGAUGUAGCACAUCAU
rnacentral:rRNA from 1 species